rnacentral:rRNA from 1 species
UGGUUGACCCGGGCGUAAGGGACCGAAAUUAGAGUAGGGAAGCACACUUAGCUGAAGGCGAGAAAAGCUUUGCGUAUAGAAACAGAUGCCCGUACCGCAAACCGACACAGGUGGACAGGAAGAGAAUUCUAAGGCCAGCGGGAGAAGGGUAGUUAAGGAACUCGGCAAAUUGACUCCGUAACUUCGGAAUAAGGAGUGCUCGAAAGAGCCGCAGAGAACAGGCCCAGGCGACUGUUUAGCAAAAACACAGGUCUCUGCCAAAUCGAAAGAUGAAGUAUAGGGGCUGACACCUGCCCGGUGCCGGAAGGUUAAGAGGAGGAGUGAGAGCUCCGAAUUGAAGCCCCGGUAAACGGCGGCCGUAACAAUAACGGUCCUAAGGUAGCGAAAUUCCUUGUCGGGUAAGUUCCGACCCGCACGAAUGGUGUAACGAUCUGGGCACUGUCUCAACUACCCACCCGGCGAAAUUGUAGUACCGGUGAAGAUGCCGGUUACCUGCGGCAAGACGGAAAGACCCCAUGGAGCUUUACUGUAGCCUGAUAUUGGGUUUCGGAAAUCUAUGUACAGGAUAGGCGGGAGACUAGGAAACAUGAGCGUCAGCUUGUGUGGAGUCGAUGUUGGGAUACCGCCCUUAGGUUUCUGGAAUUCUAACCUGCGGCCGUGAAUCCGGUCGGGGGACAUUGUCAGGUGGGCAGUUUGACUGGGGCGGUCGCCUCCGAAAAGGUAACGGAGGCGCUCAAAGGUUAGCUCAGCACGGACGGAAACCGUGCCUCUGAGUGUAAACGCAAAAGCUAGCCUAACUGCGAGGGUGACGGCCCGAGCAGUAACGAAAGUUGGAGUUAGUGAUCCGGCGGUAUGUGAAUGGAAAUGCCGUCGCUCAACGGAUAAAAGCUACCCUGGGGAUAACAGGCUGAUCUCCCCCAAGAGUCCACAUCGACGGGGAGGUUAGGCACCUCGAUGUCGGCUCAUCACAUCCUGGGGCUGUAUUCGGUCCCAAGGGUUCGCCUGUUCGCCGAUUAAAGUGGUACGCGAGCUGGGUUCAGAACGUCGCGAGACAGUUCGGUCCCUAUCUGUCGUGGGCGCAGGAUAUUUGAGGAGCUCUGUCCUUAGUACGAGAGGACCGGGAUGGACGUACCUCUGGUGCACCAGUUGUCAUGCCAAUGGCACGGCUGGGCAGCUAUGUACGGAACGGAUAAACGCUGAAAGCAUCUAAGCGUGAAGCCGACUCCAAGAUUAGAUAUCCCAUCGUAUAACGAGUAAGACCCCUUGAAGACUACGAGGUUGAUAGGCUGCGUGUGUAAGUGCCGUGAGGCAUUCAGCUUGGCAGUACUAAUAGGUCGAGGGCUUGACCU